rnacentral:rRNA from 1 species
GAUGAACGCUGGCGGCGUGCCUAAUACAUGCAAGUCGAGCGAACAGAUGAGGAGCUUGCUCCUCUGACGUUAGCGGCGGACGGGUGAGUAACACGUGGAUAACCUACCUAUAAGACUGGGAUAACUUCGGGAAACCGGAGCUAAUACCGGAUAAUAUAUUGAACCGCAUGGUUCAAUAGUGAAAGACGGUUUUGCUGUCACUUAUAGAUGGAUCCGCGCCGCAUUAGCUAGUUGGUAAGGUAACGGCUUACCAAGGCAACGAUGCGUAGCCGACCUGAGAGGGUGUACGGCCACAGUGAAAGUGAGCGACGGCCCAGAGACCUAGGGAGGGCACAAGUGGGGAAUCGACGGAAAUGGGCGAAAGCCUGACGGAGCAACGCAGCGUGAGUGAUGAAGGUCUGCGGGUGGUAAAACUCUGUUAUUGGGGAAAAACAAAUGUGUAAGUAACUAUGCACGUCUGGAGGGAACCGAAUAAGAAAGCCCCGGCAAACUACGU